GAGUUUGAUCCUGGCUCAGGAUGAACGCUGGCGGCGUGCUUGACACAUGCAAGUCGAACGCAUCGACAAUGUCUGGAAUCACUGGAUGAACGGGAGGAUGAGAAAUCAUUCAAGCGGGAAGAAGGUGAGGAAGGGCGACGUUGGUGAGUGGCGGACGGGUGAGUAACACGUAGGUAAUCUGCCUCAAAGAGGGGGAUAACUGUUCGAAAGAGCAGCUAAUACCGCAUAAUAUCCAGGCUAAGCCUGGAAGAAAGGCGCGAGCCGCUUUGAGAUGAGCCUGCGGCCGAUUAGCUAGUUGGUGAGGUAAUGGCCCACCAAGGCGAGGAUCGGUAGCUGGUCUGAGAGGAUGAUCAGCCACACUGGGAUUGAGAACGGCCCAGACUCCUACGGGAGGCAGCAGUGAGGAAUAUUGCACAAUGGGGGGAACCCUGAUGCAGCAACGCCGCGUGGGUGAAGAAGGCUUUCGAGUUGUAAAACCCUUUACUGUGGGAUGAGGAAAAGGACAGUACCACAGCAACAAGUCUCGGCUAACUACGUGCCAGCAGCCGCGGUGAGACGUAGGAGGCAAGCGUUAUCCGGAUUUACUGGGCGUAAAGGGCAAGUAGGCGGUUGUUCAAGUUGGGCGUGACAGAUCUCGGCUUAACUGAGAAAGGUCGUCCAAUACUGAGCGACUAGAGGGCAGGAGAGGAAAGUGGAACUCCCGAUGUAGCGGUGGAAUGCUCAGAUAUCGGGAAGAACACCAGUGGCGAAGGCGGCUUUCUGGCCUGUACCUGACGCUGAGAGGCGAAAGCUAGGGGGAGCGAACGGGCUUAGAUACCCCGGUAGUCCUAGCUGUAAACGGUGGG
rnacentral:rRNA from 1 species